rnacentral:ncRNA from 1 species
CGGAGCGCGUGUUUCAGCACGAUGUUGGGAAAGCUCACGCCCUUGAGCCGCGCGGUGCGGAUGUAUUGCGCGGUCAUCACCUCGGCCAUGGAGGCGCGCGUCAUGCGCGCGAUGUAGCCCAUCCCGUAGAGCGAGAUCGUCAGCACCGGCAGGAAGAAGUUCUCGAAGGUCGGAU